UACGUAGGGAGCAAGCGUUAUCCGGAUUUAUUGGGUGUAAAGGGUGCGUAGGCGGGAAGGCAAGUUGAAUGUGAAAUACCGGGGCUCAACUCCGGGGCUGCGUUCAAAACUACUUUUCUUGAGUACAGCAGAGGCAAGCGGAAUUCCCAGUGUAGCGGUAAUAUGCGUAGAUAUUGGGAGGAACACCGGUGGCGAAGGCGGCUUGCUGGGCUGCAACUGACGCUGAAGCACGAAAGUGUGGGGAGCAAACAGGAUUAGAUACCCUGGUAGUCCACACUGUAAACGAUGAUUACUAGGUGUGGGGAGAUUGACCCUCUCCGUGCCGCAGUUAACACAAUAAGUAAUCCACCUGAGUAGUACGGCCGCAAGGUUGAA
rnacentral:rRNA from 1 species